GAUGAACGCUGGCGGCGUGCCUAAUACAUGCAAGUAGAACGCUGAAGCUUGGUGCUUGCACCGAGCGGAUGAGUUGCGAACGGGUGAGUAACGCGUAGGUAACCUGCCUCUUAGCGGGGGAUAACUAUUGGAAACGAUAGCUAAUACCGCAUAAAAGUCGAUAUCGCAUGAUAUUGAUUUGAAAGGUGCAAUUGCAUCACUAAGAGAUGGACCUGCGUUGUAUUAGCUAGUUGGUGAGGUAACGGCUCACCAAGGCGACGAUACAUAGCCGACCUGAGAGGGUGAUCGGCCACACUGGGACUGAGACACGGCCCAGACUCCUACGGGAGGCAGCAGUAGGGAAUCUUCGGCAAUGGGGGCAACCCUGACCGAGCAACGCCGCGUGAGUGAAGAAGGUUUUCGGAUCGUAAAGCUCUGUUGUAAGAGAAGAACGAGUGUGAGAGUGGAAAGUUCACACUGUGACGGUAACUUACCAGAAAGGGACGGCUAACUACGUGCCAGCAGCCGCGGUAAUACGUAGGUCCCGAGCGUUAUCCGGAUUUAUUGGGCGUAAAGCGAGCGCAGGCGGUUAGAUAAGUCUGAAGUUAAAGGCUGUGGCUUAACCAUAGUACGCUUUGGAAACUGUUUAACUUGAGUGCAGAAGGGGAGAGUGGAAUUCCAUGUGUAGCGGUGAAAUGCGUAGAUAUAUGGAGGAACACCGGUGGCGAAAGCGGCUCUCUGGUCUGUAACUGACGCUGAGGCUCGAAAGCGUGGGGAGCAAACAGG
rnacentral:rRNA from 1 species